AUAUUGCAAAAGCCGUUGCGCCUGGCUCCGAUAACACGUCCGUCUUCUGCAGCCUUUACGCCUCCCGUACGCUCUACGCGGCUGUGCCAGAUCUAGGUUAACACCAUCUUAAGCGCCGGUCCCUUCGGGCCAUAUGCAGUGGAUGCCCAGAGCAAAUACCCAACAGUGCAAUCACCAGGCAGAGGAACAAGGCAUGCAGAGUCCUUCCCACAAUGGUUAGUUCACAUGGUCAUCUCCGCACUACUCCCUCAAGGAACUAUGAACUUCCCACCUCCAGUAACCCCUGCCACUCAUCUGAGGCUGCUUAGCCACCAGCUCAAGCCACAGACCCUGUAUGGAGCCUCUCUAAUGACAUGCCUGCCGUGGCCUUCCUUCCUGAGAGUUUCCAUGGCCCUCACUGUCCAACAUCCUCAUGAGGAGCCCGCUCUGGGGUAGGUUGAGUUGAAGGAGGCAGUAAUAAAUUGAGGUGGAACAGGCAGAUGCAGAUGGUAGAUUAGGGCUACACUGUGUGUGUUGCCGGGUGUGGGGGGGAGGCGCAGCGCAUAGCACCAAAGCACUGUGGGUAAGCAGGAGUGCAGAGAGCAAAGGAGCAGUGGGACAAAGCCCGAACUCUAUAGCCUUGCCCCUGUUCAGGGCAGAGGAGAAACUUGGGCAGGAAGAGAAAACAAAAAAACAGAAACAUCUUCCAUAGUAGGAACAGAUAAUGUGCAAAAUGGGGAAAAAUUAAAAUAGAAGUAUAGUAAUUUUACUCAUAAGUUUAGAAUAAAAUAAAAUAUUAGAAGACAGACAAGAGUGGAUGAAGGUUAUCACUGUGGAACAGGAAGCAGAGGUGGGGUGGGGGCAAUUAAAGUGCUAUGUUUUUCAUUAGAAGCCUUCUAAUAUAAUAUCCUAUUUCACAUUUAAACUAUGGACAUGUAUUUAAUGAAAAUGUAAAUGAUAUAUGUAGAAAAGAGGACAAACAUCGUCUCAAAGCUAGUAAGUAAAAGGAGGGGCCCUUGGGUGGUUCAGUAGUUAAGUGGCUGACUUUUGCUCAGGUCAUGAUCUUGGGUCCUGGGAUCCAGGCCCCCCACCCCCACCUCUGUGCGCUCAGCAAGGAGUCUGCCUGUCCCUCUCCCUCUGCCCCUCCUUCUGCUCAUGCUCUCUCUCUCUCUCUCUCUAAUAAAUAAAUAAAAGCUUUUUUUUUUAAAAAAAGCUAGUAGGUAAAAGGAAAGAGUCAAUCAUUUAUCUUGCUUUUUCUCUAUAAAAUAUACUUCAAAGUAACC